GAACUUACAGUCAGGGUUGAGGCGGGUGUGGCUGGUGUUGCCAUGGGAACCACUGUAGGAGUGGGCCUGGUGCACGGACUCAUCCACUACGGCUGCCAUCCAGAUGGCGAGGUUGGUGGCGAGGGUGAACAUGAGCCCACACCUGUUUCAGCAUGAUGGAUGAGGGCACCUCGGAGCCAGAUGGGACCAGCAUGAGCAUCCCGGUAAGGCACCGCGUCUGGACAGCGAGCGGUGCGGAGGAGGUAGAAGACUAUCCAUAGCGCGGCCAGCAGCAUCAUGGUGGUGAGCAGAGCGAACACGUCCGUGUCAUACACCGCCACCUUGUUGAAGGCACCGCCGCUGAUGAGCGUGCAGGCGAGCAGCAGCACGUUGACAGCCAACAGCACCGACAGCAGGCGGCCGCCCUUUUUCCACACCUCACGGGGGCUGGCCCGAGGCCCCGGCAGGCUCUCAUUGGGAUGCGGGACCAGUUCCUCCGACAUGGUGGGGGCGACUGGAGGAGGUUGAAGGGAUCACUGCGAGGUCCGAAGUCGGGGCGGGGGGGGGGCAAGGACAGGAUUCUAAGUCAACUCAGGGGGCUCUCCUUUCCUCCCAUGUGAUCCCUGGAUUUGGGGACCCCGGAAUGUGGGGACUAAGGGUGCUGGACCAAGCACUGGGGAAAACGAGAAAAUCUGAAAGCUGUACCUUCCCUACCUGGCCUGGAAAUAUUGUACAGAGAGAAGAAGAAGCGGCCCUAGGCUGAAUCCUUUACAAAGUCCCACUCCCCAAAUCUGACAGUCCCCUGGCCAGGGACACGCACCUGGCUGCACCGGGAGCCGACACCAAGUUGGGGGUCAAGGGGCAGCAAGCGUCUCCUCUCUCCCACGCCGGGC
rnacentral:lncRNA from 1 species